UAUUGUAAGUCCGCCUAAUCAUUCAGUCUAUUUCUGCCGCGUGGUAGUCAUGCGUUCCGGCUUGAAGGCUGAGUAGGUCGUUGAACAAUACAAUUUAUAUCAUUUACAUUAUCAUUACAAUUCAAACUCGUUUCUUAAAGUCGUUGGCAGCAUUCACGUUGUGAUGUUAAUAGGCUCCGGGUACAGCCUAAGUUCGGAGGCUAGUUCACAAUUAACCAAAAGAAGUGUACGGCGACCUUUUAAUUCAAAACUUGAAGUAAAAUUUGUGGAUACCACAAGGCUGUUUGGAAAACAUCAUAUUGGCUUAAGAGCUCUAGAGAGAGAUAAAAGUAUGAUGUGCCAGCUCAUAUCAGCUCAGAUCUUUCUCUCUCUUACCAAAACAGAUUCGGUGUCCAAGCAUUAGAACAAAUCCACUGUGAUUUGUGAAACAAACUCUGAAUAUUAGUAUUUGUGAAGAAAUAUUUUAAAGCAUUUUCAGUGCAGUGGAACAGAGACUUAUGCAAAUUUAAAACACUUAUGCACUCAAGUAUAAAUAUUGUUAUCUUCAUUAAAGUUAAGCCUUUUUGAUUACUGCUACUACAAGAAAGACGCACGUAGCAUAUGGAAGUAAAAUGGCGUUAGGAUUUCUACUUAUCACCGGUAUUUUAGCGUUUGGAGCUUAUUGGACUACGAAAUAUUUAAUGAGUAGUCCUGACAACAAUUUUUCUUCUACAACUGUCAUGCCGACAACGAUGUCCUCAACGCUACCACCCGGGCUGUUAUAGCGUAAUACUGUAGAAUUUAAGAUAACUGUAAAUAUGUUAUUAAUUUAAGAAUGAAAUUAAAAGAAAAUUAAAAACC